rnacentral:rRNA from 1 species
AUGUCGCUGUCAUUGCUACUGACUGGAGCUUGGUCGCCGCCUUCCCCUUCAUCUGACACCAUCCUGCUCCAGCCGGUGGACCGAUGUAUUCCCCUUCCUUGGCUAGAGUUUGGUUGCCACCUCCCCUACCUUUCACACCAUCCGGCCCGUGGAUCGCCGUCUUUCCCUUCCUUGGCUGGAGAUUGGCCUCCGCUCGCCGCUACGGUUAGGGCUAGCCAGUUACUGUUGUCGUUGCCGCUAGCUGGAGCUCGGCAGGUCAGUGCAUCCUCACCCUUCUAUCCCACCCUCUUUCUCCUCUCUCUCUCUCUCUCUGAACCCCACUCGUCUCGGCGGGUGAGAGUGAGACGCCGCCCUUUUGUCCAUUCCUUUCUUAUACUUUGA